rnacentral:rRNA from 1 species
UACGAAGGGUGCAAGCGUUACUCGGAAUUACUGGGCGUAAAGGGCUCGUAGGCGGCCAACUAAGUCAUACGUGAAAUCCCUCAGCUUAACUGGGGAACUGCGUGUGAUACUGGAUGGCUUGGAUUUGGGAGAGGGAUGCGGAAUUCCAGGUGUAGCGGUGAAAUGCGUAGAUAUCUGGAGGAACACCGGUGGCGAAGGCGGCAUCCUGGACCAAUUCUGACGCUGAGUGAGCGAAAGCCAGGGGAGCAAACGGG